CAGGGAGGAGAUUAGGUACUGAGAAGAUGACUCUGGAGCAGCUUUGAUAGCUCUGCCACGUUGCUAGCUCACUCAGACUGUACCCACCUUGCCACUGGUGGAUGAAGAUGGAAGCUCAUCGAUGAUGAAACUUCCUCUAGAAAUGAUAAACCUGAAAUAAAUGCUUUCCUUCCAUAAACUGCAUCUGCUUGGGGGUUUUGUCCCAGCAACAAGAAGGUGAAUGUGGAGAAGAAACCUUGGGAACACUUGACUUGGCAGCAGUGUCUGUGCUGUUUUCUGAUGCUCCCUGGAGUCAGUCCAGACAUCACGGCUGCUUUGGUGUGGUACCUACGCCGCCAUCUUAACUGGAAGUUCUGUUUCUUGCUCUUUAAGGGAAUUAGGAAUUGCUUUAUUAUGCACCACAUCCUCUGAACUUUUCCGCUGGAAGAUUUACAUUUCACUGGAACAAAUAAGGAGCCAUUUACAAAGAUAGGAUGGAAGCUGUGGAUCACCAAAGCCAUUGCCUUGAGAGCAAUAUAAAUGAAUGAAGAAGCUAUGUAUGGAAUUACCAUGAGACUGUUAGCUGAGUUCAUCCUACACAUUCUUUGCGAAAACAAAAGCAGAGGGGUCAGUCCUUUGGGAAUGGCAACAUACUAAUUCAA